CUUCUCUCGAAGGAGGAGACAGCGUCCCCUGCGCUCUCAGAGCCGCAGCCUGGCCAACAAGGAAAGGACAAUGUCAUAUGGUUCAACCUAGCCCACUUAUAAGACUGAGAGACGCGAGGAAGACACCUAAGGCAAAGUAAAGGGAGUCUUGCUGCGAUGCCCAGGCUGGAGCGCAAUGGCA